rnacentral:rRNA from 1 species
GGGUUGUGAGGUUAAGCGACUAAGCGUACACGGUGGAUGCCCUGGCAGUCAGAGGCGAUGAAGGACGUGCUAAUCUGCGAUAAGCGCCGGUAAGGUGAUAUGAACCGUUAUAACCGGCGAUUUCCGAAUGGGGAAACCCAGUGUGAUUCGUCACACUAUCAUUAACUGAAUCCAUAGGUUAAUGAGGCGAACCGGGGGAACUGAAACAUCUAAGUACCCCGAGGAAAAGAAAUCAACCGAGAUUCCCCCAGUAGCGGCGAGCGAACGGGGAGGAGCCCAGAGCCUGAAUCAGCAUGUGUGUUAGUGGAAGCGUCUGGAAAGGCGCGCGAUACAGGGUGACAGCCCCGUACACAAAAGCGCAUGUGCUGUGAGCUCGAUGAGUAGGGCGGGACACGUGGUAUCCUGUCUGAAUAUGGGGGGACCAUCCUCCAAGGCUAAAUACUCCUGACUGACCGAUAGUGAACCAGUACCGUGAGGGAAAGGCGAAAAGAACCCCGGCGAGGGGAGUGAAAAAGAACCUGAAACCGUGUACGUACAAGCAGUGGGAGCCCCACCACUAAGCCAGUGGUGAACUCCACAUACGCAUCCUUUGCUGAGGAUACGGUUAACGGAGCGCAAGCGACGUUCAACCUCAAAAGAAGCAGAGGGGGCUUAGUGGUGGGGUGACUGCGUACCUUUUGUAUAAUGGGUCAGCGACUUAUAUUCUGUAGCAAGGUUAACCGAAUAGGGGAGCCGGAGGGAAACCGAGUCUUAAUUGGGCGUUAAGUUGCAGGGUAUAGACCCGAAACCCGGUGAUCUAGCCAUGGGCAGGUUGAAGGUUGGGUAACACUAACUGGAGGACCGAACCGGCUAAUGUUGAAAAAUUAGCGGAUGACCUGUGGCUGGGGGUGAAAGGCCAAUCAAACCGGGAGAUAGCUGGUUCUCCCCGAAAGCUAUUUAGGUAGCGCCUCGUGAAUUCAUCUCCGGGGGUAGAGCACUGUUUCGGCUAGGGGGCCAUCCCGGCUUACCAACCCGAUGCAAACUGCGAAUACCGGAGAAUGCUAUCACGGGAGACACACGGCGGGUGCUAACGUCCGUCGUGAAGAGGGAAACAACCCAGACCGCCAGCUAAGGUCCCAAAGUCAUGGUUAAGUGGGAAACGAUGUGGGAAGGCCCAGACAGCCAGGAUGUUGGCUUAGAAGCAGCCAUCAUUUAAAGAAAGCGUAAUAGCUCACUGGUCGAGUCGGCCUGCGCGGAAGAUGUAACGGGGCUAAACCAUGCACCGAAGCUGCGGCAGCGACGCU